UGGGGAAUAUUGCACAAUGGGGGAAACCCUGAUGCAGCGACGCCGCGUGAGUGAAGAAGUAUUUCGGUAUGUAAAGCUCUAUCAGCAGGGAAGAUAAUGACAGUACCUGACUAAGAAGCCCCGGCUAACUACGUGCCAGCAGCCGCGGUAAUACGUAGGGGGCAAGCGUUAUCCGGAUUUACUGGGUGUAAAGGGAGCGUAGACGGAGUGGCAAGUCUGAAGUGAAAACCCUGGGCUUAACCUGGGGACUGCUUUGGAAACUGUUAAUCUAGAGUGUUGGAGGGGUAAGUGGAAUUCCUGGUGUAGCGGUGAAAUGCGUAGAUAUCAGGAAGAACACCGGAGGCGAAGGCGGCUUACUGGACAAUAACUGACGUUGAGGCUCGAAAGCGUGGGGAUCAAACAGGAUUAGAUACCCUGGUAGUCCACGCUGUAAACGAUGAAUACUAGGUGUCGGGGAGCAAAGCUUCUCGGUGCCGUCGCUAACGCAAUAAGUAUUCCACCUGGGGAGUACGUUCGCAAGAAUG
rnacentral:rRNA from 1 species